GACGAACGCUGGCGGCGUGCUUAACACAUGCAAGUCGAACGGAAAGGCCCUGCUUUUGUGGGGUGCUCGAGUGGCGAACGGGUGAGUAACACGUGAGUAACCUGCCCUUGACUUUGGGAUAACUUCAGGAAACUGGGGCUAAUACCGGAUAGGAGCUCCUGCUGCAUGGUGGGGGUUGGAAAGUUUCGGCGGUUGGGGAUGGACUCGCGGCUUAUCAGCUUGUUGGUGGGGUAGUGGCUUACCAAGGCUUUGACGGGUAGCCGGCCUGAGAGGGUGACCGGCCACAUUGGGACUGAGAUACGGCCCAGACUCCUACGGGAGGCAGCAGUGGGGAAUAUUGCACAAUGGGCGGAAGCCUGAUGCAGCAACGCCGCGUGCGGGAUGACGGCCUUCGGGUUGUAAACCGCUUUCGCCUGUGACGAAGCGUGAGUGACGGUAAUGGGUAAAGAAGCACCGGCUAACUACGUGCCAGCAGCCGCGGUGAUACGUAGGGUGCGAGCGUUGUCCGGAUUUAUUGGGCGUAAAGGGCUCGUAGGUGGUUGAUCGCGUCGGAAGUGUAAUCUUGGGGCUUAACCCUGAGCGUGCUUUCGAUACGGGUUGACUUGAGGAAGGUAGGGGAGAAUGGAAUUCCUGGUGGAGCGGUGGAAUGCGCAGAUAUCAGGAGGAACACCAGUGGCGAAGGCGGUUCUCUGGGCCUUUCCUGACGCUGAGGAGCGAAAGCGUGGGGAGCGAACAGGCUUAGAUACCCUGGUAGUCCACGCUGUAAACGGUGGGUACUAGGUGUGGGGUCCAUUCCACGGGUUCCGUGCCGUAGCUAACGCUUUAGGUACCCCGCCUGGGGAGUACGGCCGCAAGGCUAAAACUCAAAGGAAUUGACAGGGCCCCGCACAAGCGGCGGAGCAUGCGGAUUAAUUCGAUGCAACGCGUAGAACCUUACCUGGGUUUGACAUGGAUCGGGAGUGCUCAGAGAUGGGUGUGCCUCUUUUGGGGUCGGUUCACAGGUGGUGCAUGGCUGUCGUCAGCUCGUGUCGUGAGAUGUUGGGUUAAGUCCCGCAACGAGCGCAACCCUUGUUCACUGUUGCCAGCACGUUAUGGUGGGGACUCAGUGGAGACCGCCGGGGUCAACUCGGAGGAAGGUGGGGAUGACGUCAAGUCAUCAUGCCCCUUAUGUCCAGGGCUUCACGCAUGCUACAAUGGCUGGUACAGAGAGUGGCGAGCCUGUGAGGGUGAGCGAAUCUCGGAAAGCCGGUCUCAGUUCGGAUUGGGGUCUGCAACUCGACCUCAUGAAGUCGGAGUCGCUAGUAAUCGCAGAUCAGCAACGCUGCGGUGAAUACGUUCCCGGG
rnacentral:rRNA from 1 species